rnacentral:lncRNA from 1 species
UUUUUUUUUUUUUUUUUUUUUUGGUCUUUUCUGGGGCCGCUCCCACGGCACAUGGAGGUUCCCAGGCUAGGAGUCUCAUCGGAGCUGUAGCUGCUGGCCUACACCACAGCCACAGCAACUCAGGAGCCGAGCCACGUCUGCAACCUACACUGCAGCUCAGGGCAACGCUGGAUCUUUAACCCACUGUGUGAGGCCAGGGAUCGAACCCACAACCUCAUGGUUCCUAUUCGGAUUUGUUAACCACUGAGCCAUGACGGGAACUCCGAGGAUUUGAAAUAUUGACUCAGAGCUCUUUGAAGAAGCAGAUGAGAGUGUGCAUAUAUUAAGGCCUCCAGAGGGAAAAAAUAUAUAUUACAUGGAAUGUAUGUAUUUUAUCUCAGGCUAUCUGUAAGGCACAUACGGGGUCAAGUUCAGUCCAUCUAAGCAUGGAUUGCAUAAAUAUGCAAUCUUAAAUUUCUAGGUAAAGUUGCAUCUGUAAGGGAAGUGAGGAAGAGCUGGCCCUAGAUCCCCUCCUGUGUCUCAGUACUUCCUUCCAGUUCAGUCUCCAUGUGCAUCUUUUUAAAAGUCUCUUCAGAGGCUUUUUAAACUCUUUAAGUGACCCGGCCUAAAUUCCUUUUGAUUCCAGUAUCAAGUUUAGACCUUGGAACCGAUGAAUGCGCUGAAGCAAGUACUAUCAUCUUAGCGUGGCUGCUCUGGUUACGGGUGCUUCUCAUAAACAUAGUGUCGAUUUGUAACCCGAUAUAAAACUGCGACUGCGGAGUUCCCAUCUUGGCUUGGUGGUAAACGGACCUGCCCAGUAUCCAUGAGGUUGAGGGUUCGACCCCCGGCCUCACUCAGUGGGUUAGGGAUCUGGUGUUGCUGUGAUCUGUGGUGUAGGCUGGCAGCUACAGCUCCGAUUUGACCCCUGGCCUAGAAACUUCCAUAUGCUUCGGGUGUGGCCCUAAAAGAAAAAAAGACAAAAAAUGUAAAAAGUGCAAUCAUGACUAUUAGUUGUGAAUCUGCUUAGCAUGGUGGACACGGGCUUGUAGAGAGGCUGGUGUGUGUGUUUGAGUAGCUUUGCCUCGUUCUCAUGUCAAAGGCAGUUUUUCAAGUGAGAAGACCGAACCUCCCGGUGUUGCUAAAAGCCACACAGAAGGUACUGUCAGAACCCUGCCCCUGGUUGCAGGCGCUCAGCCCCCCUCGCCAGCCCCUGGUCACCCAGACGGGGAAUUUCAGAAUGCAGGCGCGUGAAAAGCAUCUUUGUCUCAGCCAGAUCUGCCUUUCAUUGAGUGACAGAGGGGUGGCAAACCACAGACAUCAAGUCCCGGCAUCAAAACGUGCAUGCAGGUGACCAACCAGCCUCAUGAAGCAGACACUCCAGGAGAGAAAGCCUAAAAGACUUUUAUUUAAAAAACAGAAAACAAAAAACCCUCCCUCACCAAUUGGGCAGGACUUUGAAGUGUUUUCCUGUCUGACUGAAAUUUUCCUCUCCACCGCCUCUCUUGGCAGAGAGAUGCAGAAUUACCUUGGGGCAGCUUUGAGUGGAGAUGGUUUGGCUUCCUGAGAGCAGGCCAAGCUGGAAGGAAGAGGCACAGGCAUCCCCACUGUCAGGCAUGGAGGUUACGGGUCCCCUGCGGGGACUCUGUUUUAGCUCCAAGGAGGGGCAGAGCGGUUUGGAGCAGGGCUGCCAGCCCACCUGCUCCCUACCCCACCCCGUCCUUGAUGGCUGGUCUCCCAGCGCAGCCCCUUCCAAGGCCCAGUGCGUGGAUGUGACCAGAAAUAAACAAGAAACCAAACCAGAGGUUAGGUACUACCUACAAGGCAAGCCCAUGAGGCUGCCUUCAUCCUACCUCUCCUCUUGUGUUUGGUAUCCAGAUAUCAGCUUGCAGUGAAAGGGAGCAGAGCCUUGGGAAGCCCAGGUGUGCCUGGGGUCUGGGGCCAGCAAGGAGCCCUGCUUUCCUGCUGUCAGAUACAGGGGACGCCUGGACCUCGUCUUCACAGGGUGCAGAAGCAGUAAUAUAUUUUCAAUUUGUAGGAACAUCUCUCAGCAAGUCGUCCAUGUAAGGCUGUUUUUGGCAGUGGCUCAACUGGAACUAGGAAACAGUAGCCUUUUGGCCCUAACGGUGGGGGGGGGACCUUUCAGGCCAUCCCUUCUGACCACCUUCCUAAGCUUAUCUGUAAAAUGAGAAUGUUUGUCAGUGUCUGCCUCGUAGGGUUGUUGUGAGAAUUACAUGAAAUGAUUUUUAGAAGGCGCUUAGACCCGUGCCUGGCAUGGAGUUAAGCCCUUGAUGACAUUCACCACCAGUAUUUUUGUUCCUCAUGGGUGAGAAGACUGGGGUCCAGGGAGGGGAAAUGCCUUGCCUGAGGUCCCCUUGCUGCCUCUGAGCAGAACUGGGGCUGGAAUCCAAGUUCACUAUGCUUUGCUGGAGGCAGCUGUCUUACUGGCAUCCUUGGUCUAGUUGCAAUCGAGAGCUCAGAUUCAUGUGCCCCUAAUAGGAUACGGCAUGUGGGAUGGCUUUGGUUUUGUUAUGGCUACACAGCUAUGCUCAAUGUCACUGCCUUUGUGCUUGAUGCCCUGUUUGAGUUAAGAAUUCAGUGAAGCUUCGUGUGUGUGUGUGUGUGUGUGUGUGUGUGUAGUGUGGUGGUGGCAGCCUUGCCUACGUAAUUUAGCAUCCUCACUCUCUCUCUCUCUUUUUUUUUUUUUCUUUUGCUCUUUUUGUCUUUUUAGGGCUGCACCCGAGGCAUAUGGAAAUUCCCAGGCUAGGGGUCUAAUUGGAACGGUAGCCUCUGCCUACACCACAGCCACAGCAACACGGGAUCCAAGCCCUGUCUAUGACCUACACCACAGUUCACAGUAACGCCGGAUCCUUAACCCACUGAGAGAGGCCAGGGAUUGAACCUUCGUCCUCAUGGAUGCUAGUUGGGCUUGUUAACACCUGAGCCACGACGAAAAUCCCUAGCGUUCUCCUUUGCGUUAGUGUGUUAGCAUGUUUUCACUUUUAACCUUUCACCUUUAACCUUUGAGCCUGGCAUUUUAAAUGCUAUUAAACUCAGUGUUUCCAAUAAACAGCCUUAGAGGGAUGGGAAAUCACUGGAAUGACUUUGUUUUGUUUUUUUCAGGGUUGCACUUGCGGCAUAUGGAGGUUCCCAGGCUAGGGGUCUAAUCGGAGCUGUAGCCGCUGGCCUACACCACAGCCACAGCAACUCAGGAUCUGAGCCACAUCUGCAACCUACACCACAGCUCAUAGGUAAUGCCAGAUCCUUAACCCACUGAGUGAGGCUAGGGAUCGAACCUGAAACCUCAUGGUUCCCAGUCAGAUUCAUUUCCACUGUGCCACAAUGGGAACUCCUGGAAUGACAUUUUUUUUAAAUUUUUUUAUCAUGUAUUAUAUAUAUUUUUUUCUACUGUACAGCAUGGUGACCCAGUUGCACAUACAUGUAUACAUUCUUUUUUUUUUUUCUGUCUUUCUGCUAUUUCUUUGGGCCGAUCCCACGGCAUAUGGAGGUUCCCAGGCUAGGGGUCAAAUCAGAGCUGUAGCCACCGCCCUAUGCCAGAGACACAGCAACACAGGAUCUGAGCCACGUCUGCAACCUACACCACAGCUCACGGCAACGCUGGAUCCUCAACCCACUGAGCAAGGGCAGGGACGGAACCCGCAACCUCAUGGUUCCUAGUCGGAUUCGUUAACCACUGCGCCACAACGGGAACUCCACAUGUAUACAUUCUUUUUUCUCACAUUACGUGUUCUGUCAUAAGUGACUAGACAGAGUUCCCAGUGCUACACAGCAGGAUCCCAUUGCUCAUCCAUCCCAAAGGCAACAUUCUGCAUCUGUUUACCCCAACCUCCGAGUCCCUCCCACUCCCUUCCCUUCCCCCUUGGCAACCACAAGUCUCUUCUCCAAGUCCAUGAUUUUCUUUUCUAUGGAAAGGUUCCUUUGUACCAUGUAUUAGAUUCCAGAUAUAAGUGAUAUCAUGUGGUAUUUGUCUUUCUGACUUACAUCACUCAGUAUGAGAGUCUCUAGUUCCAUCCAUGUUGCCAUAUAUGGCAUUAUGUUCUUUUUUUAUGGCCAAGUAGUAUUCUACUGUGUAUCUAUACCACAUCUUCCUAAUCCAGUCAUCUAUCAGUGGACAUUUGGGUUGAUUCCAUGUCUUGGCUAUUGUGAAUACUGCUGCAAUGAACAUGAGGGUGCAUGUGUCUUUUUUAAGGAAACUUUGGUCCAGAUAUGUGCCCAAGAGUGGGAUUGCUGGGUCAUAUGGUAGUUCUAUGUAUAGUUUUCUAAGGUACCUCCAUACUGAUCUCCACAGUGGUUGUAUCAGCUUACAUUCCCACUAGCAGUGCAGGAGGGUUCCCUUUUCUCCACACCCCCUCCAGCACUUGUUAUUUGUGGACUUAUUAAUGAUGACCAUUCUGACUGGUGUGAGGUGGUAUCUCAAGGUAGUUUUGAUUUGCAUUUCUCUAAUAAUCAGUGAUGUUGAGCAUUGUUUCAAGAGCUUGUUGGCCAUCUGUAUAUCUUCCUUGGAGAAAUGUCUAUUCAGGUCUUUUGCUCAUCUUUCAAUUGGGUUGUUGGCUUUUUUUUUGCCGUUGAGUUGUAUAAGUUGGUUGUAUAUUUUAGAGAUUAGGCCCUUGUGGAAUGACUUUUUUGACAGGCCUCUGUCCCUCAGCCAUCCGUGCCACAUGCUCCCAGACAGCACUUGCUGAGGGGGCUUGUCGGCAGUUUCAACCCUGAUCUGCAAGGUUGGGAGAAGUAUGGAGUGAAGGUUUGGGUGCCAGAGGACCUUUUAAAGCACAAAGAAUGGUGUUUUGUUUUGUUUGGCUGCACCCCAGGCAUGUGGAAGUUCCCGGGCCAGAGGUCAAACCCGAGCCACAGCAGUGACAAGGCCAAGUCCUUAACCACUAUGCCACCAGUGAACUCCCAGAGAAUGGUUUUUAUGCUGGAGAAGUAGCGUUGAUGGCGGUGGUGGGGAGAGGGGUCCAGUCUUUUUGUUUAAUUAAUGGAUAAAGUGAAUCCAGGAGUUGAUCAUUCCUUCCUCCUUCUUAUGGCUUCAAGAAAGCUUAGGGCCCAAUUUCUGGCCACCUUUAGUCAACGAGCUGGACUUUCUGGAAUGUGAUUCUAUGGAUCAGCAUCAUUCUUCUCCCCACCCCCUGCCUUCAAUGUAUAUAUUUUGGUCCUCUCCUGAUGCUAUUCUGUGUCACCAUUCAAUUUGAUGUGCCAUGUUGUGACUCCUAAGUUUGUUUUGGGAAUGUAUUUUUUAAAAGUAAAAGUCAAAUUGAAUGUUGUCUUUUCUGCUUGUAAAGUCGUGAGGUCCUGGCGGGGAGGGAGCCCGCCCUCUCUGUGCCCCAGGUUUAGCCUCAUCUUGGUGAGACGUGUAAUGUGGGAGCGAGCACGGCUGCUAGAAAUAAAGAUGCACCGUUUGGAAUGG